rnacentral:rRNA from 1 species
UACGAAGGGGGCUAGCGUUGUUCGGAAUUACUGGGCGUAAAGCGCGCGCAGGCGGUCCUUCAAGUCAGAGGUGAAAGCCCAGAGCUCAACUCUGGAACGGCCUUUGAAACUAGAGGACUAGGGUACGGGAGAGGUGAGUGGAAUUCCGAGUGUAGAGGUGAAAUUCGUAGAUAUUCGGAAGAACACCAGUGGCGAAGGCGGCUCACUGGCCCGUUACCGACGCUCAGGCGCGACAGCGUGGGGAGCAAACAGG